GACGAACGCUGGCGGCGCGCCUAACACAUGCAAGUCGAACGAGCGUGAGAGAGCUUGCUUUCUCGAGCGAGUGGCGAACGGGUGAGUAACGCGUGAGGAACCUGCCUCAAAGAGGGGGACAACAGUUGGAAACGACUGCUAAUACCGCAUAAGCCCACGGCUCGGCAUCGAGCAGAGGGAAAAGGAGCAAUCCGCUUUGAGAUGGCCUCGCGUCCGAUUAGCUAGUUGGUGAGGUAACGGCCCACCAAGGCGACGAUUGGUAGCCGGACUGAGAGGUUGAACGGCCACAUUGGGACUGAGACACGGCCCAGACUCCUACGGGAGGCAGCAGUGGGGAAUAUUGCACAAUGGGGGAAACCCUGAUGCAGCGACGCCGCGUGGAGGAAGAAGGUCUUCGGAUUGUAAACUCCUGUUGUUGGGGAAGAUAAUGACGGUACCCAACAAGGAAGUGACGGCUAACUACGUGCCAGCAGCCGCGGUAAAACGUAGGUCACAAGCGUUGUCCGGAAUUACUGGGUGUAAAGGGAGCGCAGGCGGGAAGACAAGUUGGAAGUGAAAUCUAUGGGCUCAACCCAUAAACUGCUUUCAAAACUGUUUUUCUUGAGUAGUGCAGAGGUAGGCGGAAUUCCCGGUGUAGCGGUGGAAUGCGUAGAUAUCGGGAGGAACACCAGUGGCGAAGGCGGCCUACUGGGCACCAACUGACGCUGAGGCUCGAAAGUGUGGGUAGCAAACAGGAUUAGAUACCCUGGUAGUCCACACCGUAA
rnacentral:rRNA from 1 species